UACGAGGGGGGCAAGCGUUGUUCGGAAUUAUUGGGCGUAAAGGGUGCGUAGGCGGUUUUGUAAGUCUUGUGUGAAAUCUUCAGGCUCAACUUGAAGACUGCACGAGAAACUGCAGGGCUUGAGUGUGGGAGAGGUGAGUGGAAUUCCUGGUGUAGCAGUGAAAUGCGUAGAUAUCAGGAAGAACACCGGUGGCGAAAGCGCUCUGCUAGGCCGCAACUGACACUGAGGGACGAAAGCUAGGGGAGCGAAUGGG
rnacentral:rRNA from 1 species